GCUGUUGCAUUGUCGUAGAGGGGAACAGGAAGUUCCGGGUAGAAAACGAAAGAACUGUGUAAUGUCGUUAGUGGUUGUGUUCGUUUCAACUGUAUUAUUGUAGGCUGACUCAGAUUAAGUCUGAGGCCGGUAACAUCAACAGUGAGGACAAACCCAGCCUGCCACUCUCCUUCCACACUGAGUAGAAACCUACAGUCACUGGGUCCUGAUUGUGACAGUGGAGCCCAGUUUGCACUGCAGGAUCCAGAGAUGGCAUCAGUGAAGCUGGAGGACUGCAGUCAAACACUGGAGCUGAAUGUCAACAUUACAGAUGAAGAAGAAGAGGAGGAGAAGAUUAGAACAACUGUUAGUCAUGGUGAAGGAGAGGACCAAACUGCAGUGCGGCUAGUGUUCAACAAGUUUAUUUAGACGAAAUAAACGGUAACACUAUACAAAUAACAAAUGUGAAAACCGAGACAGCCCUAUCUGGUGCAGACAAAACACAGAGACAGGAAACAAUCACCCACAAAACCCCAACACAAAACAAGCCACCUAUAUAUGAUUCUCAAUCAGGGACAACGAUAGACAGCUGCCUCUGAUUGAGAACCAUAUUAGGCUGAACAUAGAAACAGACAAACUAGACACACAACAUAGAAUUCCCACCCAGCUCACGUCCUGACCAACACUAAACAAGCAAAACGCAUAAGAACUAUGGUCAGGACGUGACAACCAUUGUGGCGGCUCAUUGCUCUAUCAGUACUACACCCCUGCAGUCUGCUGCACCGAACUAGUGAUUGAUGCUCACCUAGCCUACUCUUUUGCCUUACACAACAUUUGGUGAUGCAGAAAUGAGAGAACAUGUUUUUAUGAAAAUCUGGGAAUAUUUGGCCAAGGAAACAUUUCUGGUUGGUCUCAAGGAAUGUCACACAGGGAGACUUAAAACAGGAUUGAGUGAAGUAGCAGCUAAUGCUCAUGGAGAGCCUCACAAUUAUUAUUAUUAACCUUUAUUUAACUAGGCAAGUCAGUUAAUAACAAAUUAUUAUGUACAAUGACGGCCUACACCGGCCAAACCCGGACGACACUUGGUCAACUGUGCGCCGCCCUAUGGGACUCCCAAUCACGGCCGGUUGUGAUACAGCCUGGAAUCUAACCAGGGUGUCUGUAGUGACGCUUUCAGUGCCUUAAACUGCUGUGCCACUCGGGAGCUCAUAAGUUGAAUGAAAUUUCAUCAUCUUUCAGUCUAUUUGAGAUAUUUACUUCCUUUUGUAGCUCUUCACCAGUUUCUUGAAUGUUUAUUGUACAUAAAUAUAAACACAACAUGCAACAAUUUCAAUGAUUUUACCGAGUUACAGUUCAUAUAAGGGGCGGCAGGUAGCCUGGUGGUUAGAGCGUUGGGCCAGUAACCGAAAAGUUGCUGGAUCGAAUCCCUGAGCUGACAAGGUAAAAAUCUGUCGUUCUGCCCCUGAACAAUGCAGUUAACCCACUGUUCCCCGGGAGGCCAUCAUUGUUAGUAAGAAUUGUUCUUAACUGACUUGCCUAGUUAAAUAAAGGUUAAAUCUAAUUAAAAAAAAAUAAUAUAUAUAUAUAUAUAUAUAUAUAAUAAGGACAUCAGUCAAUUGAAAUGAAUUAGGCCCUAACCUGUAGAUUUCACGUGACUGGGCAGGGGUGCAGCCAUGGGUGGGCCUUGGAAGGCAUAGGCCCACCCACUUGGCAGCCAGACCCACCUCAGGUCCUGGGCUGACGUUAUUACACAUGGUCUACGAUUGUGAGGCCGGUUGGACGCAUUGCCAAAUACUCUAAAACGACGUUGGAGGCAGCUUAUGGUAGAGGGACGCUGUGUUCUACUCCCUUCACAGAACAGCGCAAACUAGCUUUAACCAGAAUAGAAAGAGCAGUGGGAGGCCCCGGUGCACAACUGGGCAAGAGGACAAGUACAUUAGUGUCUAGUUUGAGAAACAGACGUCUCACAAGUCCUCAACUGGCAGCUUAAUUAAAUAGUACACGCAAAACAACAGUCUCAACGUCAACUGUGAAGAGGUGACUCCGGGAUGCUGGCCUUCUAGACACUAUUCUGGUUAGAGCCAGUUUGCGCUGUUCUGUGAAGGGAGUAGUACACAGCGUUGUAUGAGAUCUUCAGCCGUUUCCAGCUACAAGAGUCAUUUACAACAUUAACAAUGUCUACACUGUAUUUCUGAUCAAUUUGACAUAAUUUGAAUGGACAGAAAUGUGCUUUUCUUUCAAAAACAAGGACAUUUGUAAAUGACUCCAAUCUUUAGAAUUUAUUCAUUUAUUUCACCACUAGUGGUAGUGUAUUUAUUUCUAUUAUUAUAAAAAAAAUUACCUUUAUUUAACUUCCUUAGCAUACUGGUUAUUGUCCUGAAUUUCAGAUGACUGACGUGCCCAAAGUAAACUGCCUGUAAACUGGCCAGAAGCUAUGAUAUGCAUAUACUAGAUAGCAUUGGAUAGAAAACACUCUGAAGUUUCUAAAACUGUUAAAAUAAUGUCUGUGACUAUAACAGAACUGAUAUGGCACGAAAAUCCAUCCGGAAUGUUUAUUUUUUGAGGUCACAGGUUUUUUCAGUGCUUGCCUAUGGGAUAUACAAAUAGAUAGGACCCAGAUUGCAGUUCCUAUGGCUUCCACUAGAUGUCAACAGUCUUUAGAAUGGGUUUCAGGUAUUUUGUAGUUUUUUGAAAUCUGACAACGCAGUUGGAUUAACAAGAAGCUUUUAAAUGAUGUAAGACACUUGUAUUUUCAUGAAUGUUUAAUAUUACGAUUUUUGUAUUUUGAAUUUUGCGCUCUGCAAUUUCACCGGAUGUUGUCGUAGGUGUCCCGCUAUCGUUUGGACAUGCGCCCAAACAGGUUAACUAGGCAAGUCAGUUAGGAACAAAUUCUUAUUUUCAAUGACGGCCUAGGAACAGUGGGUUAACUGCCUUAUUCAGGGGCAGAACGACAGAUUUUUACCUUGUCAGCUCGGGGAUUUGAUCUUGCCACCUUUCGGUUGCUCUAGCCACUAGGCUACCUGUCACACGAUAUGACCAGAAGAGGAAUGGUCACCGCUCUGAGCCUGGUUCCUCUCUACGUUUCUUCCUAGGUUCCUGCUUUCUAGCGAGUUUUUUGUGGCCACUGUGCUUCUACAUCUGCAUUGCUUGCUCUUUGGGGAUUUUAGGCUGGGUUUCUGUAAAGGACUUUGUGACAACUACUGAUGUAAAAGGGCUUCAUAAAAUACAUUUGAUUGACAUGUAUAUCACACCAACUGACUGGUUCUUCUGAUGUUUACACAGGAUACCAUGUAGAGACAUUCUCUACAUCCAGAGAGCAACAGCAGGAAGAUCAGAGAGCUAAGAGGUCUCAUCACUGCCCACAUUGUGAAGAGAUUUUCCCAUUUCUAUCAAAGCUAAAAAUACACCUAAAAAUACACACAGGAGAGAAGCCCUACUCCUGCUCUGGCUGUGGAAAAUGCUUCAAAACAUCAAAUGAGCUAAAAGUUCAUAAGAGAACACACACAGGAGAGAAGCCUUUUUCCUGCCCUGACUGUGGAACUCGGUUCUCUAAACUUAACCACUUACAAUCACAUGAACGUAUACAUACAGGGGAGAAGCCAUACUCCUGCUCUGACUGUGUAAAAUAUUUCAGAACAUCAACUCAACUAAAAGUUCAUCAGAGAACACACACAGGACAGAAGCCUUUUUCUUGCCCUGACUGUGGAACUAGGUUCUCUAAACUUUCCAUCUUAAAAUCACAUGAACGUAUACACACAGGAGAGAAGCCUUACUUCUGCUCUGACUGUGUAAAAUGCUUCAAAACAUCAACUCAGCUAAAAGUUCAUCAGAGAACACACACAGGAGAGAAGCCUUUCUUCUGCCCUGACUGUGGAACUAGUUUCUCUCAAGUUUCCUACUUAAAAUCACAUGAACGUAUACAUACAGGGGAGAAGGCAUACUCCUGCUCUGACUGUGGAAAAUGUUAUAAAACAGCAACUGAGCUAAAACUUCACCAGAGAACACACACAGGAGAGAAGCCUUACUUCUGCUCUGACUGUGGAACUAGUUUCUCUCAUCUUUCCAACUUAAAUAGACAUGAACGUAUACACACAGGAGAGAAGCCUUACUUUUGCUCUGACUGUGUAAAAUGCUUCAAUACAUCAACUCAGCUAAAAGUUCAUCAGAGAACACACACAGGAGAGAAGCCUUUCUUCUGCCCUGACUGUGGAACUAGUUUCUCUCACCUUUCCUACUUAAAAUCACAUGAACGUAUACAUACAGGGGAGAAGGCAUACUCCUGCCCUGACUGUGGAAAAUGUUAUAAAACAGCAACUGAGCUAAAACUUCACCAGAGAACACACACAGGAGAGAAGCCUUACUUCUGCUCUGACUGUGGAACUAGUUUCUCUCAACUUUCCAACUUAAAAACACAUGAACGUAUACACACAGGAGAGAAGCCUUACUUCUGCUCUGACUGUGUAAAAUGCUUCAAAACAUCAACUCAGCUAAAAGUUCAUAAGAGAACACACACAGGGGAGAAAAAAAGUUCAUCAGAGAACACAGGCAUGAGAGAAGCCUGCUUACGUCUGCUCUGACUUUUGGGUGAGUUUCUCUCACCAUAGCAACUUAACACACCAAUGUUUAGACACGGGAGAAGCCUUACUCCUGCUCUGUGGAGGGGUGAGCGUGUAAGUCAAACGUCUAGCCAAAGGCUGCGUGUUUGAAUCUCAUCAAGGAGGACUUUAGCAAUUUAGCUAAUUAGCAACUUUGCAACUUCUUACUAUUUUUUAGCUAUGUUAGCAUGUUAGCUUAGCAUGCAACUACUUAGCAUGUUAGCUAACCUUUCCCCUAAACCCAUUUAACUCUACCUUAAACCCCUCACCCCUAACCUAGCUAACGUUAGGAACAACAAAUUGGAAUUCGUAAGAAAUCAUACAUAUUACAAGUUCGUAACAUAUUGUAUGAAUAGCAAUGCGUAACAUAACAUAUGAAUUGUAAUUCUUAACAUCUGAUACGUCCUACAAGUCGUAUUAUACUGAACAACAAUCUAAACGCAACAAUUUCAAAGAUUAACAGUUUGUAUAAGGAUAUCAAUCAAUUGAAAUAAAUGAGGCCCUAAUCAAUGGAUUUCACAUGACUGGGCAGGGGCUCAGGCUUGGGUGGGACUUUGGAGGGCAUAGGCCCACUUGGGAGCCAGGCCCAGCAAAUCAGCAUGAGUUUUUCCCCACAAAAGGUCUUUAUUACAGACAUAAAUACGACUCACCCCCCUCCCAGACAAUCCUGCAGGUGAAGAGGUCCUGGGCUGCCGUGGAUACAUGUGAUCUGCAGUUGUGAGGCCGGUUGGAUGUACUGCCAAAUUCUCUAAAAGGACGUUAGAGGUGUCUUAUGGUAGAGAUAUAAAUAUUGAGUUCUCUGGCAACAGCUCUGGUGGACAUUCCUGCAUUCAUCAUGACAAUUGCACAUUCCCUAAACUUGAGACAAAUGUGACAUUGUGUUGUGUGGCCUUUUUUUGUCUCCCAGCACAAGGUGCACCUGUGUAAUGAUAAUGCUGUUUUAUCAGCAUCUUGAUAUGCCACACCUAUCAGGUGGAUGGAUUAUCUUGACAAAGGCUGAAAUGCUCAUUAACAGGGAUAUAAACAAAGUUGUGCACAACAUUUGAGAGACAUUAGCUUUUUGUGCAUAUGGGACAUUGCUGGAUUUUAUUUCAGCUCAUGAAACCAACACUUUACAUGUUUAGUUUAUAUUUUAGUUUAUUUACUGUGAUAGUCCAAACAUACUAAAUGGAGUGGCACUGAAGUUUUUGUAUAUUAUAAAACGUUUUGCUCUGAGACCAGGUUGUCCCUCUGCAGUAUUCUGUGGGAAGGAGCUAGUAUACCCUUUUUAUUUGUUUUUAUUGAACCUUUGAUAAACUAGGCAAGUCAGUUAAGAACCAAUUCUUAUUUACAAUGGUGGCCUAGGAACAGUGGGUUCAGAUUUUUACCUUGUCAGCUCGGGGAUUCAAUCUAGAAACCUUUUGGUUAUUGGCCCAACACUCUAACCACUAGGCUACCUUCCACCCCUAACAUGUAUCAGAUAGAGAUGGUGUGAUGAUCACUUUUCACCAUUAGUUUGGGGGGGAUUGUUUUACAACUUUAUUUAAUGAUACACAGUUUAUGAAAUGAAUACAUGUGUUUAUUAAUUGUCUUUAAAGCUAGAUGAGUUAUUUUAGUUACUGAUCAUGAAUGUGUUUGGAUAACUGCAUUGAAGAAAACGUUAUUGAUCUGCCAAUGAAAAAUAAAGUUACAGGAAUAUG